AUGUCUUCGCACCACCUCUCUGAGAUGGACUCCACCACAGAUUCCGUCGCCUCCUCUCCACGCUCCGAACACCUUGCUCCUCAUGAUGCCCAUACACGUGUACGGUUCAUGUGCAGUUUCGGCGGCAAAAUUCUACCUCGUCCGCACGAUAAUCAGCUCUGUUACAUGGGCGGUGAUACGCGCAUCGUCGCCGUCCAUCGCUCCACAUCCUUCUCAGCAUUCCUCACCAAGCUCUCCAAACUCUCAGGAAUUGUCAACGUGAGUGUUAAGUAUCAGCUUCCAAACGAGGAUCUUGACGCGUUGAUUUCAGUGACUACCGACGAAGAUCUCGAGAACAUGAUGGAAGAAUAUGACCGGUUAGCACAGAAUCACAACCCUCGGCUAGCUAGGCUUCGUGUUUUUCUCUUCUCCAAAGGCGAUGAUGACUCACGACCCAGUAGCAUCAACUCACUCAUGGACGGCUCGGUUAAUCGUGAACACUGGUUCUUCGAUGCACUGAAUUCUGGCCUGGAACGUGGCCGUUCCGAGGCGUCCUCGGUCGUGUCCGAAGUUCCCGAUUAUUUAAUUGGGAUGGAGAAUUCCGAAGAGGGCCAACCUCGUGACCCGAAAUUAAGGACACGUCAGCUUUUGCAUGAGGACGUCUCGCUUUCGGACACGGGUUCUCCUGCCCCGGAUGUUUCUUCUCCCUUUUGUUCGACGUCAUCAGCUCCUACUGUACCUUCUAUGCCCCAUCUCCCACCCGUUAAGACUAGACCCGACAACACCGAACAGGUUAUGGAGUCAAAGCAAAGCCAAACAGAGAGUUUUUUGGAGCAACCCAUUUUGCACCCAACCGCAUAUUCGGGUAAUCCCAUGUGGCAUUAUGUUUCAGAUUCUCAUUAUUCUGCUCCUCCCGUACAGCAAAUUCCCGUUUAUUAUGUUCCGGGUCCUGCUCAACCCGGAAAUGUUCAACUUCAACCCGUUCAAAUCCAGACACAGUACGUUCAGCAGUAUCCAGUUCCCGCGGGCCAAAUUCCAAUUGGGUAUCACCAGCCGGCUCCUGGUGUCGGUCAAGCAUACAGGCCAGUUACAUCCUUGGAUCCUUACGACCCGGCAUUAAGAGUGGUUCCUGAUGGUGUGAAUCAACCAGUAUAUUAUGGAGUUAGAAGUUCGGGUCCGGUUCCAGUUUACCCUGGAAUGGCUCCCCAGGGUGGAGAGGAAAUGGCUAGACGUGGAUCGGAUAUGACACCGGGUCGGGUCCCCCACUCAGGACAUUGACAGAUAUACAUUCGAAAGAAUCUUUAAUUUUGCGAGCAUAAUACCAAAAUAUGAAAGUCUGGGCCAUCGGAUAAAGGGUGAUUAACCAAAUAUGCCUUAGUUAAAGCCGAAAAUGGUGUAUAAAUGUAUUCAGAAAUAGUUGUUGCAAGCUUCAAACUUGGCUGAUAGUUGAGUGCCAUCAAGGUGAAAAUCAUGAAACUCAUAAACUUGGACUGACCUUUCUUCCCAAUUCUGGCCAUGGGCUAUAGAUUACAAACUAAGGUUGGACCGUGUCUAUGAAUUGAAGGCCAUCGCUCCGAGCGGUAUUUUGAUUUAAAGCUGGACUGCGUUUGAUAUGAGGACCAGACCAAGCUUAGGGUGGUCCAAUACAAGCCCCCUCCAGUCAGCUGCGACCCUCGUACAGCAGAAAAUUGAUGUUAACUAUGGCCAAUAUGGUCCUAAGUCAACAUAUAUAGACUGUCUGUGUGAGCUAUGAUGGAAAGGUGAGCAGGCUCAACAAGAUUGGAAACAGAAUUUAAUUAGUUACAGGUUGGUCCUCUUCCGAAAGUUUCAUGCAGAUGAAAGGGGUCGACACUGAAUCUGAUGUCGACUACUGCAGCAAUGCCCCUACCUAUGUUGUUUUUAGGUUUAAUUAUUGCAUUAAAUUUGCUUGGUCCAACACCUAAGUUUAGUUCCAGAGGCUACAUUGAUUUUUGUCUUACGCUUCUCCACGUCUCACUCUAAUUGAUUUGAGUCUUAAUUUAGUUAGUAUCAUUAUUGCUGUAACAAUUUGGAGGAUAUAAAUUCAAACACACUUAAACACAUAA